AAUAGUUAUUUCUACAUAAUAUGAAUUAUUGAUGAGCGUAAGCAGUUAUCAUAUUUGUAUUAUUAGAGUAGUAACAUGGGGGAAAAUUCAAAAUGCAUCGUUCCACUUAGCAAAACGGGAUGCAGAUCAUCAAGUGAUUAUGUCGGAACCUCAAAGCCAUCUUUAUAUGGUUUUCCAAAAAAUGAGGAGCUUUUUGUCAAAUGGAAGAGAGCAAUACCCAGAGAUUAGGCACUAAAUGGAAAAUCUAUAAAUAUUGAGAAUGGGGAAGUAUGCUCCCUUCACCGGAAAAUAAUUUCUGUAAAACAGGCUUAACAUGUGGCCAGCCGUUGGAUCGUCGACUAUUGAAUAGGGAUGCUGUACCUUCACAAUUUCCUGGUCCAAGUUACUUGUCAAAAAAAUACGAAAUAAGGAAGGGGACAAAAAGAUCAAGAUCAUCUUGGGGAAGAAAUUCAGACAACGUUCAAAUUAAUCAUUUGAACCAUGAAUUUAUGGUGAAGGACAAUAUUGCAUCUUUAAUUGAAUUAAAGGAAAAAAUAUCCGAAUACAGCAUCCCUUCUGAUUUGCUCAUUAUGUCCGAAGAUACUUCAAUAACAUAUUUAUUGAAAAACAAAAUAAAGGCGCUCCAACGACUAACUUUAGUUUAAAU
rnacentral:lncRNA from 1 species